ensembl:lncRNA
CAAAACCUCGGAGGUCUCUCAGAAGUCCCCGCGGCCACUUCCCCCAGCUCUUAUCAGCACGCCGUUAAUGUUUGGCAUCGCAAUAGCAGUUGGCACCUCCAGUUCCAAGUGCAAGGUGCGUGUCUUUGACCUUGUUUUCUGUGCCCCGUGCGGCGGCGUGGUGCAGAGUGCAGGCGGAGGUGUAAAGGCGCUGGUUCUGGGGUGCAGCUCUGCCCUACGUGUGGUGGGGAGAUGCUGUGGGAGAAGAGGACUCCGUGAAGAAUGGACUGUUGGUCUUAUUGAUAGGCUUCAACAGCAUCGGUAUGAAUCAGCUCCCGGUGUGUGAAUUCCAGCCAGGAUCUGCUUGGCCGCAAACUAAACCAAGCGAAUAGUGCUGGUAAACUUUGUCCUUCCACAAACCAUUAAAGCAACGUGACCGAGUUGGCAGUUAAAGGAGGAGCCUGGCCCUGGGAGAAACUGAGUGGCAGCGCAAGAUCAGCAGGCAGGUGGUGUCCUGGGAGCCGCAGGGUGCAGGUGACAUUGGAAAUGGUGGCAUGUUGGAGCGGGAGACUCAUGGAAGUCAUCUUCAAGGGGCUGCUGUUUUCUGAGGCACGAGGGAUUCUGCUGAGGAGGGGAUGUGACCCAACACGUGUGCACUUACUGACCAUCACCUAGAGCGCUGGGCCGCUGCCCUGCCUGAUGUGACCUGCGGGACACAGACAUGCAAUGGUGCAGAAUGACGGUGCUGCUUGCUUUGUCGUCGUGAUUGAGCCUUGCUAUGGACUUAUUUAUGGUGGGAAAAUUAUAUUUGAGAAUUGUUUUACCAACCUCUGACAGGCAGCCGCUGCUGGGGUGGGAACCGUGAGGGGUCCGUAGGUUUCCCUAUCCCUUGCAGGUGCUGUGAUCCCAAAUAUCUUUCAUCAGUGCCCUGGUGAUGGGAUUAGCGUGCAUUAAGAGUUUCUCUUCUCAUCUCUCCCAGGGAGGAUCAAAUGCAGUGAAAUAUCCCAUUUUGCUGGUUGCUUUUUGAAAAACGUGUGGUAUGUGUUCGUGUUAGGAACGCAAGGUCAAAGGAACAGGAGCACAGGACACGGGGCUGCAUAAACCCUUUCAGGACAUUGGGUUUGAUCCAUGCGUUGUAGUCCUGUUUGCAAAACUGUUUUAAAAGUAGUGCGUUUGUUUACCCUCAACUACAAAGCGUGCUACAAAGGCUCCUCCUGAAUCACCAGUGCUUUCUGGGAAGAAACGUGGAAGGAAAGCUGGGGGUUGUGAUCCCUUGUCCCUUAGCAAAAGACCAGCACUUGUACCAACACCCUGGGAGCACCAUGUCCUGCACCUGUGAGCAUUCUCCUCUCUGGGGAAGUUUCCUCUCUCCCCAAGGAACACAGAACUGUUGGUGAGGUUUAUCCCAUUGCUUUACGUUGGCUGGUUAGGUCUGGAGAACGUGGCUUCGAGUUUGGAAGUUGUUUUGGCACGAAUCAGCACUGAGCGGAGACCAACGCUGUAGGAGAUUGCAUUAAGGGAUGGGUAAUGAAGGAUGCUGAGGAAACUGCAUCCAGCUGAAAUAAGGUAUGGGGGCAGGUGAGUUUAAACACCAAAAGCCACUUAGGCUGCAUGAAUAUAUGAAGCACGUGGACACUGAAGCAGAUGGGACACUUCAGCAGUGACUACCAAGUCACCCAGGUCGCUCACCUGCCCUGUGGCUUGAAGCAGGUCCCAAAUGGUGCAAACAGCAGGGCCACAAACCCUCUAAGGAAACAGACUGACAAAAACAGGGGUUAUUUCACAAGCAGCAGGGAGAAAUUAGUGGUAGCGCUGCUUGUUUGCUGCAGCAGACUGCUAAGAGACAAGCUACUUGUUCUUUUUCAAAGGCCUUGGGGAAAAAAAGGGCCAUCAUUUCCAGGCAGGAAUUCUUCUGAGGAGAGUAUUUUUGUGCCUGGCUAAGAAGAGAUGAAAAGGUCAAAGAAAAUUAAAUUCACAUGCUCAGAACAUUUCAGGGCAGGUGUUUUUCCUAAGCCAGAUUUCAGGCUUGGGAGGGCGUACCCAGGAUUUAUGCCCCUCCUAAAGUUUCACCUGCUGCACUAGCACUGGAGGGCGAAGGAUUUCACAGCCCUGGCAGCCUGACUUCUCUGGACCGGACUCAAUGACUUUGCUUCGAGCUCAUUGCAAUUUGUACAGCUCGAACGAAGGCUCAGACAAGCGCUCCGGUCUGGCUGCUCAUCACUGCAUUUCACUUGGCAUGUAGGCAACGGAUGAGGAAUGCACAGAAUUUCCUUUUCCACCCCGUCAGAUCCUCUGUCUUGAGCCUGGCCCAGCCCCAAGAGCACAACGGAUGCAGCUGGAGAAGGGCAGGUCCAAUCUUGCUGCUCAGCUCCAGUGACACUUAACCUCCUCUGCUGCUGAGCUGCUUGCAGCUGGAGGUGGAUGUUAAUGAGCAUCAGCCUACUGAAAUGGCUCAUCAGGGAAGGAAGGGGAGUUGAUUUCUUUGACUAGAGAAUACAAUAGAAGCUGGAGCUCUUGUGGGAGAAGAUAACCCUCAAUCUCAAAGAAGGUGGUCUUUGGUUUUGCAGCUCAGUUUUUCUCUUGCUGUCGAUCUGCUUGAGAAGGGAUUGGUGUCCUGCUACUUGUCUCCAGCAGCUGCCUCGUAUCUGCUACCUUAUGGAUGCCUUCCAACUCGGGAUAUCCUAUGAGUCUUCCUUCAUUGUCCUUCUACUGAACCUGGGACCUCCACAGUGAGCAGCUAAAGGUAUUCUGGGUCUACACCGGUGAGAAGAGAGAAGCUCUCUGCGAGGCCUGGAAGUAUGACACAUGCUUAUGAGCAGACUCUAGGCACAUACAAUGUACUCAUUAAAUGCCACGGGGACUGCUGUGCCAGCAGGAGGGAUUCUAGCCCCAAAAAGCACUGCGAGAGCUGCGUGACCCCUCACCCCCAGGCAGAAGUGGGGGAGGACACCUCCAUCUUGUAAUCUGCAUCUGUCAAAAGAAGUGCUCUCCUCAUUUUUUGCCAGUUUGGGAAGGGUUAACGAGGGAAGCACAGCCCCCAGGGGCCAGCACUGUUGUUCCAUGCAGAUUGGCUUGUUCUUGUUUCUUCCAUCGAUCGCAAUCACUCAGAGCUGUGCCUGUAACAAACUGCCUUAAAUCAUUGCAAUCAUAAUAAGCACACCUUGGUAAAUAAUGCAUGAGGUGUCCGUAAGCCUAUAUUCAUUAGGAGGAAGGCGCAUAUAGAGCACGGUAAUCAUCUGGGCUCAAGGAGGGGCUUGGAUGGUGGGGCUGAGCCGGGUUUGGGGGCAAGGCUCUCCAGCCCCUCAGAUGUUGGAAACGUAGGCGGGUUCCUUGUCACCUUCAUGAAUUUUGUACGAGAUGUUUAAAAUGCCUGUAAGGUUUGCAUUGUAAUCCAGGUUGGGUAGAAGUGGGCUUGUGGCGAGUCUCCAAGUGGUAUAAUAGCAAGGCAUCACAAUUAAUCGUGUUUAAUAUGUUUUAAUGACUCAAAGCACGUGGUGUGUAACAAGUUUUGCUGUGAGAGCCUCGUAGCCAAGUUAAUGGUCUGGAUAUUAGGAGCCACUGUUUUAAAGCACAAAUUAAAAAUGCUUUGUUUUCCCUUUGUCUUGAGGAGCAGAAUGGUGUUGCAGCAUGGAGCUCCUUUAGGGCAGCUCCAUUGGGCGUUAGUGCCAUCCUGGUGCCGUGGCCUUCACUGCGAGGUUUUCAGGGCAGACUGCAAGGGAAAUUAGGCAGAAAUUUCCACCUUUCUUUUUUUAUUAUUAUUUUUUUUGUGUGUGUGAAAUGACAGCGAUAAGGACAGUUUUCUUUUGUAUGGUUAGAAGGGAUGGAGCCGUGGCAGAAGCAUUCCUGCUUGUAUCAGACAGCUGUGGAUGGCAAUGGGUCAUUUCACUCCAUUAUGGUUUCUGGCAAGUGAGUAUUAAAGGGUGUGUGAGGGCAUCGUUUCUCAGCGAUGACUUCAUUUGGCUGUCUAAACAAACAGCCGUUCCUCACCAGGUGCAAAGGGCCUUCUAUUUGUUUUUGAACUCUGUGAAGGGGGAAAAAAAAAUACCUAAAGGGAAAAUAGCAGAUCCUGCCUGUUUGACAGCCAUGGUGGUCUCUGCCUUCUUGGGAAACAGCAGCGAUGAGCGCUGCGGGGACAACUCGCUCCUUGUUCAGCCCCAGUGGAUGUCUUCAUCGCCAUGGUAAGUCUGUUUGAGAGCCUCCAAACCACAGACCUCCUGGUCAUGCUGGUUGGCUCAGGGUUGUCUAUAUCCAACAACCCAAUCCCUAGACGUGCUCAAAGCCAAGUUGGAUGGCACCCUGGGCAGCCUGAUCUGGCGUGGGGCAACCAUCCCAUGGCAGCUGGUUGGAGCUGGGUGAGCUUUUAAGGUCCCUUCCAAGCCAUUCUAUGGAAAUUCGGAAGUACUGGUGGGUCUGCUGUUCCUGGAAGGAGACAUUAUCUUUGAGAGCUCCCAGGGAUCCCAUCUCUGCUUGUAACCAAACCAGAACAUUUCUUCUUUAUACACACAAACCAUUUACAUGUACUUCAGAGCCCUAAGUAGACCACAUUUUAGAUAAAUUUAAAAACUCUGCUCUCCUGUUGGCAGACACUUGCUAAACUUUCACAAACUGCUAUGCCUUCAUCUCUGAAGCUGUGUUUUUGUCCGUGAUGUUCUUCCUGGAAGACGGUUGCAGAAACUCACAGCUGGUGGUUACCGUUAAACAUAAGGAGGAACAGUCAAAACUUCUCCCCUCUAAAAACAUAUAUCUGAGUGCCAAGCUCUGCCUUAUCUCCAGGAACAGUCUGAGGAGCUUGAGAUGAUUUUUGGGUCCUGGGUUCUCUCCAAAAUCAAUUCUUUGUGCUUCCUUCCAGGGUAAUUAAAGAAAUAAAUCCCCCAGCAGCUCAGCUCCAUGCAGAGCAGAGCCCCUGCUGAACUAAAGUGAUGAUCCCGUCUAUUCUGCAGUGUUGUUAAACUAUUUUUUUUCUUUCCCCUGCAGUUCUAGCUGCAUCAUCUGUCACAGAGAGAAGCAAAAUGACAAAGAGAGAUAAGAUCAGUACGUUUUAAGCUGGAGAAGAAAGACCAUUCAACCCAAGCAGAAGCAGAUAAAUAGGGAAUCAUUACCUUCACUGCCUUCAUCUUCACACCAAGCUUGCCACUUGCCUGGGCAACGUCACAAGAGAUGUGGCAACGUGAAACCACAGGUCCUGUCCCCAUUCCCUGGAAGCGGAACCCCUGUGCAGAGAUCCUGAGUCAAUGUCUCAAAAGCCGUCGAUGACAUCAAGUUGAUUGGUUUUGCUGCAGCCCUUGAAAGCAGUGGUGGGGAAUCGAUGCAGCCAUCCUCCGCCCAGGACCUGCUUUUAGGAGGACAAAGUGAGCCUUAUUCAUGGGCACGACAAAGGGUCCAGCGCUGCUUUGAUGUGGUGACCGUCCAAUGGCCCCUUCACCUGUUUCUUCCCUUUGGAGGAACGCUGCAAUGCAUUUUCAUCCGUCUCUUUGGCCAGAUUCUUCCUAGAAAUCGCUGCUAUUCAGCAAGAAGUGAAGGUUUCCUUUUUGAAAUCUUUAAUGAAACGACUACAAAUAAUAGUCUACCUUCCACCCAAGAAGGGCAGAAUUAUUCCUUCUCCCGCCUAUACAGAUGGAAGGAAUGCUUAUGUAUGGAUUGUGUUUUCCUACAGCCAGGCUGGAUGACAAUCUGGUUGACUUCUAGGACGCAGCUUCUCGAAGAUGCUGCUCCUUCAGCAGCUGCAGUGCCCACGCUGGUGGGAUGUCUGGCACGUGGGACUGCAGAGUAAAUGCUUAAUGAGGAGGUUGCUCACAAAGGCAGUGGUACAAGGUGGUCCAUUAGAGGCUUCAGGCCUAACUCGGUUGAUCUUGAAAUACAAACAUAAUACUUUCAGGCUUAAAUAGCAGACUGAUCACAGCAGUCCCCGCUAGAAUCUCUACGUGUCUAAGGCACUGGACAUAAAUUAGUAUCAUCAGUUCAAACACCUUGAAAAUUGGAAAUAAAUUAUGCCAGACACUGGAGACAGAUGGCAUCCAUACACCAGGCAGAGCCAGAAAGCCCAGCGCUUCGGACAUCUGUAGAUGAAUUCCCUGAAGCACCUGGAGCUGCAGAGAGGAGAGGAGAAAGUGAUCUGUGCCUGAGAAUGGAUGGGUUUCUUUGGAAGUAUCACUUCAGCUUCAUCCGAGCAGCAAAGAGAGAAACUCGUUCACUAACCCACUGUUCUGCUGUGUCCUCCUAUAGGGAUAUAAAUACGGCUGAAAAAUGUCUGCAUUGUUUAUUACUUUGAAGUCAAACGUGCACCGGCUAUUUUCAGAAACAUGGGAGAAGUAAUGCCUUCUGGCUGGCUUUGAGUUGCCAGGUCGUCUGAAUAAUUUCCCUUUCCCUGUCCCUCUGCUUUUAUAUACACAUGGAAAGGCAGACACGGAUAUUUUAAUGUAUGUAUUAAAACUAGACCAAAAGUUAGCAUGCUGUUUGGAGAUGUGUGGCAUAGAAAUAAAUCGCAGAGGAGAGCAAGGAAGGAAUGUGUGCUGCUCCCUGGCAGCCUCGGCUCGUUUGGGGCUGCACAGCAGAGCAAGGCACAGCUCCUGCCCCACAGCCUCCGUACGAAUAUAUCGAGCUCUUUUGUUUCCCACGUGUAGGGUCACCGUUAUGUGCUUUCUCACCUAUGUGACUGCAUCAAACAAACAAGAAAUGCCCUUCAAAAGCCGAUCCAGGUCUAACCAGUCAGUGAGAUACGGGACUUGGCAGGUAGCAGAAGGCUUCAGGACCGAUCCCCAGCCUGAUGGCACCAAGAGCAAAUGAGAUCUGCAAGACAGCACCCCACAGUUCCCAAAGCUCAGAAAACAGGAAGGGACGUGAGACAAAGCUGAUGGCAUAGCUCAAACACCGGCAGAACAGCUAUGCACGGAGUUCCCUAAGAACACAGCCUGCUUGUAAGGGUCAUUAUUGUUAUCCAUGGCUUUCCAGCCAUACAAUGGAUAGACAACUACAUGGCAACUCUACACAGCCUCCAGAGGGUUCUGCGUGCACCAAUAGAGAGACAGAGCUCUAACAAGGAGAAUGGCAGUGCUUGAGGUUGUCUUAAUUGACUGCUAAUGGGUCCCAACCGGGAGACAGGCUCAGCUGGGUGCCAUUUGCUCUAAUUGAUAAGAAGCCCUGAUUGGGUCCUUGGAGGGUG